CCCAACCGAACCCAACCAUCCCUAAAUCAUCUCAUCUCCCAUUGAUCCGAAACCAUACACAUCACUUUACCCUAAACAGCCACAAAUCAUCAUCUACAAUUACAAGCCAAAAACCCUUAACUCAAACCCCCUCCAACCCUAAAAUUACCUAACCAAACCGAGGCCAUAAAACCUCAAACCAUACACAAACCCUAGCCUACUUAUACAACCCCAAACCGAAGCAAAUCAACCCUAAAAUUGCCCUAAUUUCACAAAACCGAAUUCACACAUUCACAAAGCCUAAUUUCAAGCUAAACGAUCCUAUAAUUCUAAGGCAGCC
rnacentral:lncRNA from 1 species